rnacentral:SRP_RNA from 1 species
GCGGCAGGUAGGGCUGGGGAGCUAGCCCUUCCCUACAACCCGAAAUGGGCUACAUGCGGGGGCCAGUAACCCAGCGGGGCGCCUGCGGAGGAGGAGGCACAGCAGGCAGCCGACGGAUGAGAGCGCGCCCACACGGGGCCUCGUAGGAGUCUGCCUCACCCGUAGGGGUGGGCUCCAGCCUCCGAGCACGCCGAACCGCGUUAGGCCCGGGAGGGAGCGGCGCUAAGGCGUGGCGGGGCCGCUGUGUGGUUACGUGCUGGACGUUCGGCUGCUCUGCCCCGGCCUCUUCUUCCCUCGCCACCUGCUGGGGGCUGCCGC